rnacentral:rRNA from 1 species
GACGAACGCUGGCGGCGUGCCUAAUACAUGCAAGUCGAGCGGACCAUGAGAAAGUUUACUUUCUUCUUGGUUAGCGGCGGACGGGUGAGUAACACGUGGGCAACCUACCUUGUAGAUUGGGAUAACUCCGGGAAACCGGGGCUAAUACCGAAUAAUCCAUUUUGCUUCAUGGCGAGAUGUUGAAAGACGGUUUCGGCUGUCACUAUAAGAUGGGCCCGCGGCGCAUUAGCUAGUUGGUAGGGUAAUGGCCUACCAAGGCGACGAUGCGUAGCCGACCUGAGAGGGUGAUCGGCCACACUGGGACUGAGACACGGCCCAGACUCCUACGGGAGGCAGCAGUAGGGAAUCUUCCACAAUGGACGAAAGUCUGAUGGAGCAACGCCGCGUGAGUGAAGAAGGUUUUCGGAUCGUAAAACUCUGUUGUAAGGGAAGAACACGUACGAGAGUAACUGCUCGUACCUUGACGGUACCUUAUUAGAAAGCCACGGCUAACUACGUG